AUGGAUCCUGGUUUGACCACAUUCAUGGCUGGAUGUCCAUGAGAGGGAAGGAGAACUUCCUGAUACUGAGUUAUGAAGAGCUGAAACGGGACACAAGAAGCACUGUAGACAAGAUCUGCCAAUUCCUAGGCAGGAAAUUAGAACCAGAAGAA